AUUGAACGCUGGCGGCAUGCCUUACACAUGCAAGUCGAACGGUAACAGGUCUUCGGAUGCUGACGAGUGGCGAACGGGUGAGUAAUGCAUCGGAACGUGCCCAGUUGUGGGGGAUAACUGCUCGAAAGAGCAGCUAAUACCGCAUACGACCUGAGGGUGAAAGCGGGGGAUCGCAAGACCUCGCGCAAUUGGAGCGGCCGAUGUCAGAUUAGGUAGUUGGUGGGGUAAAGGCCUACCAAGCCGACGAUCUGUAGUUGGUCUGAGAGGACGACCAGCCACACUGGGACUGAGACACGGCCCAGACUCCUACGGGGGGCAGCAGUGGGGAAUUUUGGACAGUGGGCGCAAGCCUGAUCCAGCAAUGCCGCGUGCAGGAAGAAGGCCUUCGGGUUGUAAACUGCUUUUGUCAGGGAAGAAAUCCUCUGGGUUAAUACCCCGGGGGGAUGACGGUACCUGAAGAAUAAGCACCGGCUAACUACGUGCCAGCCGCCGCAGUAACAC
rnacentral:rRNA from 1 species